rnacentral:rRNA from 1 species
AAACCAACAGGGAUUGCCUCAGUAACGGCGAGUGAAGCGGCAAAAGCUCAAAUUUGAAAUCUAGUACCUUCGGUGCUCGAGUUGUAAUUUGAAGAUGGUAAUCCUGGCGCUGGCCCUUGUCUAUGUUCCUUGGAACAGGACGUCAUAGAGGGUGAGAAUCCCGUCUGAUGGGGUGUCCAGUGCUUUGUAGGAUGCUAUCGAAGAGUCGAGUUGUUUGGGAAUGCAGCUCUAAGUGGGUGGUAAAUUCCAUCUAAAGCUAAAUAUUGGCGAGAGACCGAUAGCGAACAAGUACAGUGAUGGAAAGAUGAAAAGAACUUUGAAAAGAGAGUGAAAAAGUACGUGAAAUUGUUGAAAGGGAAGGGUAUUAGAUCAGACUUGGCGUGUCACGAUUAUCUUCUCCUCGUGGGUUGUGCACUCGUGGCGCGCUGGGCCAGCAUCGAUUCGGGCGGCAGGACAAUGGCAUUGGAACGUGGCUUCACUCGUGAAGUGUUAUAGCCUUUGCUGAUACUGCCUGCCUGGAUCGAGGACUGCGGCUUCUGCCUAGGAUGCUGGCGUAAUGAUCUAAUAUCGC